UGAGUCGUUGGCUUUGUAUCUUCUAACAAGGAAACACUACUUAGGCUUUUAAGAUCCGAGUUUUGUUAUAGUUCUUAUACUCCAUCAUACACAUGACAUCUAGUCAUAUUUGACUCCAAAACACUUACCAAGCUUCUUCUUGCUUCUCAAAACUUUGAUGGUGUAGUCGUAGUCCGUAUGAGUCUUCUUCUUUGUAUCUUCUAACAAUAAU
rnacentral:sRNA from 1 species